AUUGAACGCUGGCGGCAUGCCUAACACAUGCAAGUCGAACGGCAGCACGGCAGUAGCAAUACUGUGGGUGGCGAGUGGCGGACGGGUGAGGAACACGUCGGAAUCUGCCCAAUUGUGGGGGAUAACUAAUCGAAAGGUUAGCUAAUACCGCAUACGACCGAGAGGUGAAAGCGGGGGACCGCAAGGCCUCGCGCGAUUGGAUGAGCCGACGUCGGAUUAGCUUGUUGGUGGGGUAAAGGCCUACCAAGGCGACGAUCCGUAGCUGGUCUGAGAGGAUGAUCAGCCUCACUGGAACUGAGACACGGUCCAGACUCCUACGGGAGGCAGCAGUAGGGAAUAUUGGACAAUGGGCGAAAGCCUGAUCCAGCCAUGCCGCGUGAUAGAUGAAGGCCCUCUGGGUUGUAAAUAUCUUUUAUCUGGGAAGAAACUCUUCUAUUCUUAGAAGCUUGACGGUACCAGAGGAAUAAGCACCGGCUAACUCCGUGCCAG
rnacentral:rRNA from 1 species